UGCAAGUCGACGCGAAGGAGAGCUUGCUCUCCAAGUAGAGUGGCGAACGGGCGAGGAAUGCGUUUCUAACGUGCCCCAAGGUCGAGGACAGCCCGGGGAAACCCGGAAUAAUACUCGAUGAUCCCAUGACACCUAAAGGAGUUGUGGGCAAAGGCUUGCCGCCUUGGGAUCGGGGAACGUCCUAUCAGGUUGUUGGUGAGGUAACGGCUCACCAAGCCAAAGACGGGUAGCGGGUGUGAGAGCAUGACCCGCCGCAUCGGGACUGAGACACUGCCCGGACUCCUACGGGAGGCUGCAGUAACGAAUAUUCCGCAAUGCGCGAAAGCGUGACGGAGCAAUGCCGCGUGCAGGAUGAAGCCCUUUGGGGUGUAAACUGCUGUCAGGGUGCAGGAACACAAUGACCACACCCAAAGGAAGGGCCGGCUAACUUCGUGCCAGCAGCCGCGGUAAUACGAAGGGCCCAAGCGUUGCGCGGAUUUACUAGGGCUUAAAGGGUGCGUAGGCGGGCCCGUAAGUACCAUGUGAAAGCCCUCGGCUCAACCGAGGAAUUGCAUGGUAGACUGCGGGCCUUGAGCUCGGUAGAGGCGGUUGGAACUCUAGGUGGAGCGGUGAAAUGCGUAGAUAUCUAGAGGAACGCCAAUGGUGAAGACAAGCCGCUGGGCCGAUGCUGACGCUGAGGCACGAAAGCGUGGGUAGCGAACGGGAUUAGAUACCCCGGUAGUCCACGCCCUAAACGAUGUGCACUAGGUUCGGGAGACACUGACGUCAUCCGGGUCUAAGCUAAAGUGUUUAGUGCACCGCC
rnacentral:rRNA from 1 species